CCCUUAGAUGUUCUGGGCCGCACGCGCGCUACACUGACGAAUGCAACGAGCUUAUAACCUUGGCCGAAAGGUCUGGGUAAUCUCCAAAUUUCGUCGUGAUGGGGAUAGAUUAUUGCAAUUAUUAAUCUUCAACGAGGAAUGCCUAGUAAGCGCAAGUCAUCAGCUUGCGUUGAUUACGUCCCUGCCCUUUGUACACACCGCCCGUCGCUCCUACCGAUUGAAUGGUCCGGUGAAGCGCUCGGACCGCGGCCUCUUGACGGUUCGCUGUCGAUUGGCUGUGGGAAGUUCGUUAAACCUUAUCAUUUAGAGGAAGGAGAAGUCGUANCA
rnacentral:rRNA from 1 species